CAGCACCUCAAGUGGUCAGGAUGAUUAUUGGGCCUAAAGCAUCCGUAGCCGGCUCUGUAAGUUUUCGGUUAAAUCUGUACGCUCAACGUACAGGCUGCCGGGUAUACUGCAGCGCUAGGGAGUGGGAGAGGUAGACGGUACUCGGUAGGAAGGGGUAAAAUCCUUUGAUAUAUUGAUGACCACCUGUGGCGAAGGCGGUCUACCAGAACACGUCAGACGGUGAGGGAUGAAAGCUGGGGGAGCAAACCGGAUUAGAUACCCGAGUAGUCC
rnacentral:rRNA from 1 species